UAAUGCUCUUCAAGUAUGUGCAAUCGGGAAAUCCAAUAUUUCGCAAAAUGUAUAGACGACGGUGAGCACUUAUUCGAACUCGCAUCCGUCUUCUCCACUGGCCAAGGUUUCAUGGCUUGAUCUUCGCACGCUCCUAGAAACUUCGUACUCGGCCUCCAUCUUCUCUACCCUCUUUCUCAAUUUCGCUCCCUAAUUUUGGAUGGCCCAAGUUUCUCUUCUCUCUACUUGUUAUGACGCUUUUUCAGAAGGCCGCCACCUGUUUGAUUAAAUGAACUUAAGGAAAAGAUCUUUUUAAAGUGUUAAGACCAUCGAAGAUGAUGGUUUAUGAAGGGUUCGAGGACAUUCUCAAGAUCUAGAAGUUUAGGAGGUCCGUGGGGUGCUCUGUGCUCUAUUGCUUCACUGCUGUCUUGAGCUAUGCUUAUACCAACAACACUACUAGAGCUGGGUAUUCUAGGGGAGACCAGUAUUAUGCGGCUUACUCGGCCGGAACCUAUAAGCAAUAUGUGGCACACCUUCUCUCCCCUGGACAACUAGAUGGAUCUGGAUAGAGGGAAAAUGCUGAUACUGCGAAAUUUAUUUGUUGGACUGUGCAAAGAUGGAAAUUGCAGGAUAUAGGGAACAUCUCCUGUUUGGAUUUGUUAAAAAUUGUGAAACCAAGAGCCCAUGGCUAAUUUUUAUGAUUAAUAUGCUGUAUGGCAUUAGUUUUAUCAUAUACUAGUUCCGAAAAUUAAUUUUUAAAUAAAGAGUAUGAUUUGAUCGUGCUG